AGUAAAAGUCGUAACAAGGUCUCCGUUGGUGAACCAGCGGAGGGAUCAUUACAGAGUUAUCCAACUCCCAAACCCAUGUGAACUUAUCUCUUUGUUGCCUCGGCGCAAGCUACCCGGGACCUCGCGCCCCGGGGGGCCCGCCGGCGGACAAACCAAACUCUGUUAUCUUCGUUGAUUAUCUGAGUGUCUUAUUUAAUAAGUCAAAACUUUCAACAACGGAUCUCUUGGUUCUGGCAUCGAUGAAGAACGCAGCGAAAUGCGAUAAGUAAUGUGAAUUGCAGAAUUCAGUGAAUCAUCGAAUCUUUGAACGCACAUUGCGCCCAUUAGUAUUCUAGUGGGCAUGCCUGUUCGAGCGUCAUUUCAACCCCUAAGCACAGCUUAUUGUUGGGACUCUACGGCUUCGUAGUUCCCCAAAGACAUUGGCGGAGUGGCAGCAGUCCUCUGAGCGUAGUAAUUCUUUAUCUCGCUUUUGUUAGGCGCUGCCCCCCCGGCCGUAAAACCCCCAAUUUUUUCUGGUUGACCUCGGAUCAGGUAGGAAUACCCGCUGAACUUAAGCAUAUCAAUAAGCGGAGGAAAAGAAACCAACAGGGAUUGCCCUAGUAACG
rnacentral:rRNA from 1 species